UGGUGGAGUGAUUUGUCUGGUUAAUUCCGUUAACAAACGAGACCUCAGCCUACUAAAUAGCUACGCGAACCUUUGGUUCGUGGCCAGCUUCUUAGAGGGACUUUAUGUGUCUAAUGUAAGGAAGUUUGAGGCAAUAACA
rnacentral:rRNA from 1 species